rnacentral:rRNA from 1 species
CAGUCGCCGCGGUAAUACGAAGGGUGCAAGCGUUACUCGGAAUUACUGGGCGUAAAGCGUGCGUAGGUGGUGGUUUAAGUCCGUUGUGAAAGCCCUGGCUCAACCUGGGAAUUGCAGUGGAUACUGGAUCACUAGAGUGUGGUAGAGGAUAGUGGAAUUUCCGGUGUAGCAGUGAAAUGCGUAGAGAUCGGAAGGAACAUCUGUGGCGAAGGCGACUAUCUGGGCCAACACUGACACUGAGGCACGAAAGCGUGGGGAGCAAACAGGAUUAGAUACCCGCGUAGUCCCUGUCUCUUAUACA